AGUGAACGCUGGCGGUAGGCCUAACACAUGCAAGUCGAACGGCAGCACAGUAAGAGCUUGCUCUUACGGGUGGCGAGUGGCGGACGGGUGAGGAAUACAUCGGACUCUACUUUUUCGUGGGGGAUAACGUAGGGAAACUUACGCUAAUACCGCAUACGACCUACGGGUGAAAGCAGGGGAUCUUCGGACCUUGCGCGGUUGAAUGAGCCGAUGUCGGAUUAGCUAGUUGGCGGGGUAAAGGCCCACCAAGGGGACGAUCCGUAGCUGGUCUGGGGGGAUGGUGAGCGACAGUGGAGCUGAGACACGGUCCAGACUCUUACGGGAGGCAGCGGUGGAGAAUAUUGGACAAUGGGCGCAAGCCUGAUCCAGCCAUGCCGCGUGGGUGAAGAAGGCCUGCGGGUUGUAAAGCCCUUUUGUUGGGAAAGAAAGGCAGCAGGUUAAUACCCCGCUGUUCUGACGGUACCCAAAGAAUAAGCACCGGCUAACUUCGU
rnacentral:rRNA from 1 species